GGGGGGGGCGGGGGGCAGGCCUGACACGUGCAGGGCGAGGGGAUGGAGGGAGCUGGCUCCUGGAUUCAGCGGCGGACGGGUGAGUAAUGCCUAGGCAUCUGCCUGGUAGUGGGGGAUAACGUCCGGAAACGGGCGCUACUACCGCAUACGUCCUGAGGGAGAAAGUGGGGGAUCUUCGGACCUCACGCUCUCAGAUGAGCCUGUGUCGGAUUAGCUAGUUGGUGGGGUAAAGGCCUACCAAGGCGACGCUCCGUAACUGGUCUGAGAGGAUGAUCAGUCACCCUGGAACUGAGACAAGGUCCAGACUACUACGGGAGGCAGCAGGGGGGAAUAUUGGACAAUGGGCGAAAGCCUGAUCCAGCCAUGCCGCGUGUGUGAAGAAGGUCUUCGGAUUGUAAAGCACUUUAAGUUGGGAGGAAGGGCAGUAAGUUAAUACCUUGCUGUUUUGACGUUACCAACAGAAUAAGCACCGGCUAACUUCGUG
rnacentral:rRNA from 1 species